GAUGAACGCUGGCGGCGUGCCUAAUACAUGCAAGUCGAGCGAACAGACGAGGAGCUUGCUUCUCUGAUGUUAGCGGCGGACGGGUGAGUAACGCGUGGAUAACCUACCUAUAAGACUGGGAUAACUUCGGGAAACCGGAGCUAAUACCGGAUAAUAUUUUGAACCGCAUGGUUCAAAAGUGAAAGACGGUCUUGCUGUCACUUAUAGAUGGAUCCGCGCCGCAUUAGCUAGUUGGUAAGGUAACGGCUUACCAAGGCAACGAUGCAUAGCCGACCUGAGAGGGUGAUCGGCCACACUGGAACUGAGACACGGUCCAGACUCCUACGGGAGGCAGCAGUAGGGAAUCUUCCGCAAUGGGCGAAAGCCUGACGGAGCAACGCCGCGUGAGUGAUGAAGGUCUUCGGAUCGUAAAACUCUGUUAUUAGGGAAGAACAUAUGUGUAAGUAACUAUGCACGUCUUGACGGUACCUAAUCAGAAAGCCACGGCUAACUACGUG
rnacentral:rRNA from 1 species